UACGUAGGGGGGCAAGCGUUGUCCGGAAUCAUUGGGCGUAAAGAGCGUGUGGGCGGCCUGAUAAGUCGGCUGUGAAAGUCAAGGGCUCAACCCUUGAAUGCCGGCCGAUACUGUCAGGCUAGAGUCCGGAAGAGGCGAGUGGAAUUCCUGGUGUAGCGGUGAAAUGCGCAGAUAUCAGGAGGAACACCAAUGGCGAAGGCAGCACUCUGGGACGUGACUGACGCUGAUGCGCGAAAGCGUGGGGAGCAAACGGG
rnacentral:rRNA from 1 species